rnacentral:tRNA from 1 species
GCCGGGAUGGCGGAAUUGGCAGACGCACCGGACUUAAAAUCCGGUGGGCUUUAAACCCGUGCCGGUUCAAGCCCGGCUCUCGGCA